rnacentral:rRNA from 1 species
GACGAACGCUGGCGGCGUGCUUAACACAUGCAAGUCGAACGGAAAGGCCCCCUUGUGGGGUACUCGAGUGGCGAACGGGUGAGUAACACGUGAGUAACCUACCCUUGACUUUGGGAUAACUUCAGGAAACAGGGGCUAAUACCGGAUAGGAGCUCCUGCUGCAUGGUGGGGGUUGGAAAGUUUCGGCGGUUGGGGAUGGACUCGCGGCUUAUCAGCUUGUUGGUGGGGUAGUGGCUCACCAAGGCUUUGACGGGUAGCCGGCCUGGGAGGGUGACCGGCCACAUUGGGACUGAGAUACGGCCCAGACUCCUACGGGAGGCAGCAGUGGGGAAUAUUGCACAAUGGGCGGAAGCCUGAUGCAGCAACGCCGCGUGCGGGAUGACGGCCUUCGGGUUGUAAACCGCUUUCGCCUGUGACGAAGCGUGAGUGACGGUAAUGGGUAAAGAAGCACCGGCUAACUACGUG